rnacentral:rRNA from 1 species
AGCGAACGCUGGCGGCAGGCCUAACACAUGCAAGUCGAACGAAGUCUUCGGACUUAGUGGCGGACGGGUGAGUAACACGUGGGAACGUGCCUUUAGGUUCGGAAUAACUCAGGGAAACUUGUGCUAAUACCGAAUGUGCCCUUCGGGGGAAAGAUUUAUCGCCUUUAGAGCGGCCCGCGUCUGAUUAGCUAGUUGGUGAGGUAAAGGCUCACCAAGGCGACGAUCAGUAGCUGGUCUGAGAGGAUGAUCAGCCACAUUGGGACUGAGACACGGCCCAAACUCCUACGGGAGGCAGCAGUGGGGAAUCUUGCGCAAUGGGCGAAAGCCUGACGCAGCCAUGCCGCGUGAAUGAUGAAGGACUUAGGAUUGUAAAAUUCUUUCACCGGGGACGAUAAUGACAGUACCCGGAGAAGAAGCCCCGGCUAACUUCGUGCCAGCCGCCGCCGUAAAAC